UACAGAGGUCCCAAGCGUUGUUCGGAUUCACUGGGCGUAAAGGGUGCGUAGGUGGCGAGGUAAGUCGGAUGUGAAAUCUCCGAGCUCAACUCGGAAAUGGCAUUGGAAACUACCUUGCUCGAGGGUUGGAGGGGGGACUGGAAUGCUUGGUGUAGCAGUGAAAUGCGUAGAUAUCAAGCGGAACACCAGUGGCGAAGGCGGUUGCCUGGAGCUUUGCUGACGCUGAGGCGCGAAAGCGUGGGGAGCGAUCCGG
rnacentral:rRNA from 1 species